UUUGUGUAGCAAUACUUGAAUGGCUCAGUGGCGCACGGGUGAGUAACACGUGAAUGACAUGCCCCGCAGAGGGGGAUAGCCCAGGGAAACUUGGAUUAAUACCCCAUGGCAUCGCAGGAUUAAAGGGUGGCCGCAAGGCUGCCGCUGCGGGAUUGGUUCGCGUUCUAUCAGCUUGUUGGCAGGGUAACGGCCCACCAAGGCUACGACGGAUACCUGGUCUGAGAGGACGAUCAGGCACACUGGAACUGAGACACGGUCCAGACACCUACGGGUGGCAGCAGUCGAGAAUAAUUCACAAUGGGGGCAACCCUGAUGGUGCAACGCCGCGUGGAGGAUGAAGGUCUUCGGAUUGUAAACUCCUGUCAUCCGGGAGCAAGACCUGACGGUGAAAAGCCGGCAGGGUUGAUAGUACCGGAAGAGGAAGGGACGGCUAACUUCGUGCCAGCAGCCCGCGGUAAUACGAAGGUCCCGAGCCGUUGUUCGGAAUCACUGGGCGUAAA
rnacentral:rRNA from 1 species